GCUAACGCGAGGCAGGCAGGCGCGGUAAUACGUGGGGGGAAAGGUGUGUCAGGAUGUACUGGGGGUAAAGGGCGUGUAGCCGGGUCGGCAAGUCAGAUGUGAAAUCCACUGGCUUAACUCGUGAACUGCAUUUGAAACUGUUGAUCUUGAGUAUCGGAGAGGCAAUCGGAAUUCCUAGUGUAGCGGUGAAAUGCGUAGAUAUUAGGAGGAACACCAGUGGCGAAGGCGGAUUGCUGGACGACAACUGACGGUGAGGCGCGAAAGCGUGGGGAGCAAACAGGAUUAGAUACCCCGGUAGUC
rnacentral:rRNA from 1 species